rnacentral:rRNA from 1 species
AUUGAACGCUGGCGGCAGGCCUAACACAUGCAAGUCGAGCGGGGUUUUCGGACCUAGCGGCGGCCGGGUGAGUAAUGCGUAGGAAGCUACCCGAUAGAGGGGGAUACCAGUUGGAAACGACUGUUAAUACCGCAUAACGUCUACGGACCAAAGUGUGGGACCUUCGGGCCACAUGCUAUCGGAUGCGCCUACGUGGGAUUAGCUAGUUGGUGAGGUAAUGGCUCACCAAGGCGACGAUCCCUAGCUGGUUUGAGAGGAUGAUCAGCCACACGGGAACUGAGACACUGUCCAGACUCCUACGGGAGGCAGUAGUGGGGUAUAUUGGACAGUGUGCGCAAGCCUGAUCCAGCCAUGCCGCGUGUGUGAAGCAGGCCUUCGGGUUGUAGAGGACUUUUGUCGGGCAGGAAAUCCCCAGCGCUAAUCCCGCUGGGGGAUGACAGUACCUGAAGAAUAAGCACCGGCUAACUACGUGCCAGCCGCCGCAGUAAAAC